CAGCCGCCACGGUAAUACGAAGGGGGCUAGCGUUGCUCGGAAUUACUGGGCGUAAAGGGAGCGUAGGCGGACAUUUAAGUCAGGGGUGAAAUCCCAGAGCUCAACUCUGGAACUGCCCUUGAUACUGGGUGUCUUGAGUGUGAUAGAGGUAUGUGGAACUCCGAGUGUAGAGGUGAAAUUCGUAGAUAUUCGGAAGAACACCAGUGGCGAAGGCGACAUACUGGAUCAUUACUGACGCUGAGGCUCGAAAGCGUGGGGAGCAAACAGGAUUAGAUACCCCGGUAGUCCCUGUCUCUUAUAC
rnacentral:rRNA from 1 species